CACGUAGGGGGCAAGCGUUUGUCCGGAUUUAUUGGGCGUAAAGGGCGCGUAGGCGGCCACGCACGUCCGUUGUGAAAUCGCCCGGCUCAACUGGGCGGGGUCAGCGGAUACGGUGUGGCUCGAGCAAGCUAGGGGGCAAUGGAAUUCCCGGUGUAGUGGUGGAAUGCGUAGAUAUCGGGAGGAACACCAGUGGCGAAGGCGGUUGCCUGGAGCUUUGCUGACGCUGAGGCGCGAAAGCGUGGGGAGCGAUCCGG
rnacentral:rRNA from 1 species